rnacentral:lncRNA from 1 species
UCUGAUACAAGGAAAAAAAUGUUUACCUUUGCAAAGCAAGACAUAAUACUAGGUCGACAUUCCACAUUAUAUAAUCUUCACAUUAUAUAUAAGUGCCAUGUAAUGUGGCUGUAGCUAGCAGAGAAGAAGGGAAAAUCCUUAAAAUUGUUUCAAAGGGUUUAUAGGCUGAGAGGGUAAUACAUGGAUUUGUUGUACGUACACACAUAUGUCUGAUAUAUGUGAACCAGUUACACUAUUGAAUUGAAUGACUACCUUGUUCAACGGCUCAAACUUUUAGACAAGGUACAUUUUUAUUUACCUAAUUAUACCUUCAAUGCACCCCUCAUUGUCGCAGACUGGUUCUUUUUCAUAGGUCAAGCCGUCAAGGCGUCAAGCACGUGAAUGACGGUAAGACUUUGAACUCACAACUUCUGCUUGCUCUGAUACUAUGUUAAAUUGUGUAAAUAGUGUAAAUAUCUCGUCUAAAAGCUUACAUAAUGAUGUGCCUAGAACCAUGUUAAUGACUCAACACACUAAAUUGAGAGAUAGACCAAAAGCAGCUCAAUAAACUAACUUGAGAGAGGAAGCUGACUUUCCUACAAGCACGAGAAUGGUUGUACCAAAAGUUGUCUUGAUACCAUGUUGAACUCCAUGUACCACAUAAAAGUUUUAAGUUUUUAAAGAAGCACACAUUUAUUUACUUUCUUGUAUCUUCAACAUAGACUUCCUUUAUAUAUAUUUCUCAAGGGGAAGCAAAGGGAGAAGCAAGGUACAAUGCCUUAAAGAACUACACUAAAUCACAAGAGUUUCUAACAACAGUAUUUAGGUUCAUUUUUCAUAUUUGAAAUAACUGAUGGAUUUUAUGGUCAAAUAUCCAUAAAUGAUUGGUUCUCUUUCAAAGGCUAAAUAAGUUGAUCUCUCAUUUGAUAAAAUUUCUGUCUUCUUAUCCAAUGAGCAAACUAUUUCAAGGCAAAGAAUAAAAAAGGAAGAGCAAAGCAACAAAAUUUGAAAGAAAAAAAGAAGAAGAAGAGAGUGAAAUUCGGUCAAUCCCCGUAUUGGGCAGAGCACUGGAAAUAGAGCUAGCCGUGAUUUUUCAUUAAUAGGAGGAUUCCGAUACAAGCAGCAAGAGAAAUACAAUUACCAU